rnacentral:misc_RNA from 1 species
GAUGAAGAACGUAGCGAAAUGCGAUACUUGGUGUGAAUUGCAGAAUCCCGUGAACCAUCGAGUCUUUGAACGCAAGUUGCGUCCGAAGCCAUCAGGUUGAGGGCACGUCUGCCUGGGCGUCACAUAUCGUUGCCCAAUGCCUAUUGCAGUGCAAUAGGAAUUUCUAGGGCGAAUGAUGGCUUCCCGUGAGCGUUGUUGCCUCGCGGUUGGUUGAAAAUCGAGUCCUUGGUAGGGUGUGCCAUGGUAGAUGGUGGUCGAGUUAGAACGAUACCGAUCAUGUGCAUGCUCCCCAAAAUAUGGCCUCUAUGACCCACACGCGUCUUUUGACGCUCAUGACGAGACCUCAGGUCAGGCGGGGCUACCCGCUGAAUUUAAGCAUAUCAAUAAGCGGAGGA